AGAAAAUGUCUCUAUACCAACAUUACCUACUACCAAACUAAAACCUCAAUACCUAUAUCCAAAUAAUAUUUCCUAAAAAUCUAAUUCAUUUAGUUUAAAAACUUCAAUUACCUGAAACGAUACGAUUUUGUUUGAAUUGGAUUGAGCUAAGAGUACCAAUUUGCACCUGGGAUUUGGUAAGCCGGACGGAAAAGGCCAUCUCCCAUGGAGGCAAGGACGGAGUGGCUGGCGUGGUGGUGCAAAGGCGGCGGCGGCGUUUGUGGGAGGUUGGUGAGAAGAGUGGUGAAUGAAGAGGUAGAAUUUUGGAGAUUAUUGUCAUUACUAUGAGUCCUUGUAAUAGAAGUAGAAGCCCCAUCUGUAGUGGUUUCAAAAUGCAAUCUCUUGCUUGAAGAAAUGCCUGAAUGAUCUUCUUCUUCAGUCCAAAAGAGAGAGGCAGGACGCUUUGGAUUGGUAGCGUCAUUGUUAUUGUUGGCCACCAUUCCUUGAAGCAAACUUUGGUCAUUUUCAAGCAAUGUGGUGUAAUUAAUACCCAAUUUUGGGUAUUCAUUUAGCCUCAAAGAUUGUGGUAUUGAUCCAAUCAUAUCUUCCAUUGAAUCUUCCCUUUUUUGAUGAUCCAUUGGCCUAUGCGAGUUGUUCUUCUUGUAAAUUCGGCAUAAUACCCAAUCAUCAAGCUUCAAAGAGUUCUUCUUGUUGGCCAAAUCAUAGCCAGGAGGCUUAUUGAUACUUGGCUUAUUAUCAGCCAACCUAUAUUCAUGCAUAAUCCAAUUGGUUUUAAUUCCUUUGGGCGGCUUUCCGCCGUAAAAUACUAGCGCCUUCUUCACUCCAACUUUUUGAUUACUUCCACCGGAGGCCAACACUGGCUUAUCAGUCCCUGUCGCCUUCCAAUACCCCGAUGUCGCGGCCCGGUUCGGUCGUGCUCCGUUCGGGUACUUCCUUUCCCUUGGACUAAAGAAGUACCAUUCCUGUUCUCCAAAAGUAGCUUUUGCCGGAAGCUCCCAAGGAUCGAACUUAUAGAGAUCGACCUCGGCGAUGAUGGCGACGGGCAAAGGGGAAGAAUUGGCUUUCUUUUUGAGAUAGUGAACCACGAGCUCUUCAUCGGUCGGGUGAAAUCGGAACCCGGGUGGUAAAUUCGGCUGCUGUGGACCGCCGGACGAGUCGGUGCUCUCCAUCGUCUAGUUUCUGAUGGAUCACUUGUAAGUUUUCUGGAGAAGAAGAGGAAGAAAAUGGUGGGAAGGAAAUGGGGUUUUUUGAG
rnacentral:misc_RNA from 1 species